GCCCACGUAGCUCAGCGGUAGAGCACUUCACUCGUAAUGAAGGGGUCGCCCGUUCAAAUCGGGCCGUGGGCU
rnacentral:tRNA from 1 species